AUUUUUGGAGCAAAACUUUUAGAAAUACCAAUUGAGGCUGGUGCUGUCGCCGAAAUAGCACAGAUUGACUGACCUAGGAUCACACAUUCCAGAAUCGUUGACGUGCGUAGCAGGUAUUGUGCAGCAUGGGGCAAGGAACAGGAAAAAUUCCUGAUACUGACGUUACGGUUCACUGUGGGGGCGAGGUCACGGAGGACAUCAUAAAAGAGCGACUGCGCAUUGAAAUAAGGAGAAGAGGCGACGACUUCGCGACGUCAUCGGAUGCGGACUAUCUGAGGGCAGCCUGUAGAUAUGUCACCCAGGAACACUCCUGGGUAAAGAGCAAUCUUCAGCUUGCAGUCUACGGGAAACUCUCCAGUUGGACCUUCUACUCAGGGAACCGCUCGAAUCAGGUUGCAUUUUAUAACGAUAAUUCCAAAGUCUACGAGCCGACAUGGCAGAGAAAGGGGUGGAAGCUUAACGUGUAUAAUGGCGUUAAAAUAGCCCUUAACUAUGCGUCAAAGGCGCUCCUCGCUCUAGCUGGUGCGGUUGUUGCAACGAACCCAAUAGCCGGUGGUGCACUGGCUAUUGGUGGUGUUACGUCAGGCUUAGGGUCUGAAUUGAUGUAAUGACAAAUGACAAUAAUCUACCUCUGUGAUCAUAGGGCGUAGUCGGUUCCUUUGACUGGUCACAGAAAUACACCCAAUUAGCGAAGUGGAAUUGGGUAACUCAAUCCUUUCAAUAUGUAAAGCCUACCAGAAUGACAAAAUGGCGACAAUCUAACCAUGCAUUCACCUUCUUGAGUUGAAAAUGCAACCUCUUUAACAUCCUUAACAGAGGUAUCAAAAAGGCACGUGAAACAAAAGAUUUUUCUCAAUGAAUCAUAAUUCUAAUAGUCUUGUAAAUGACAUAUUGUGCUAAUAUCAGUAUAAUUCAUACUGAUAUACAUUGGUACUGAUUGUUUUUCGCUGACGUUUUGUAAUGAUUUCCACCUCGCCUUGUGGAAUCCAUUGUAUUGAUGAAAUCUGUUUCUCAUGAUGCGUACUAAUGCAUAUUACCUUUAAUGAUGACAUCCAUAUACAUCGGAUAAAAAAGGCAGUAGCUACUAAAUACACUUGAUGACACUAAGUAGAGUUGACAAGAGGUUCAAUAUAAACACAUGUUGUACUCAUAUAUACAGUCCAAUUUUCCGAUAUCAACUUCAUGUGAUCUUGAUAGUCAAGGGAGGAAAAUGUAACAAAGUGUCAAGCAAUAAUGGUUUCAAUUUCAUGUGAUACAAUUAAUAUAUAAUAACUUCCGCAUUUGUAGAUAUUGAUUAACGUGUAGAUAUAUACAUUGUGAAUAAUAUUUUGCUCUGCUGCUGAUUUUCGAGCAAAUAUCAAGGAAUUCGAAAGUGCAAUAUGAUUGUAAAUCAAUUUGUAAGUUGUGUGCCAAAAUGUAUGACAAAAUAGCGACUAGGUGGUAAAUAUAACUGUUCCUGUCAGUCAAGUAGACGUUUCUUAUUGUACCAAUCUUGCAAUAUGAAGGACGUCACUGGGGGAACAUUGCAAUGAACCUAUCUUAUUCCUAAGAAUUUGACUAUGCAUCAUUUUUGACCUAGCAUCUUAACUUUCAUCGAUGAAAUCAUUAUAGAUUGCUCCACGUACUAAUAAUACCAACAGAAAAUAGAAAGGCACAUGCAAUGAAUUCAAUUUAACAUUAAAAAACUCACACCCAUGGUCUGCAUUCAUUACUGUAUUUAUCACAACGUCAGAAAUGACCUUCUUUCGUACAUACUCUAAACCCAGAUAACCUUAUUUUACAGGUCUCUACAGUAGGCAGGAAUAUUACAUAUACUAGUAGUAUAUAACAUACAGUAACAAUCUAAUCGAAAUUAAUUGUAUGUACAAAAGCCUCCCUAAACAUAAUCGUUAGAGGGAUAUAGGGCAAAGGAAUUUGCUUGAUAUACAAACUAACUUUGCUUGUGCUGUGGUGGAUAGCGAAUAUAUACAUACAUAUACGUGCUUAUAAACAGCUACAAGCCAGUUUUGGAAUUCAAAGCCAUGCAAUUUUCCAUGUUUUCCUGGCCAUACACAAAGAAGAAAAUGAAUAUAGUUUUAGCAAGGAUGUCCAUGUAUAGUUAGAUCCGAUUUCAAGAAUUACUUAUAUAUAGGACCCUUAAUCAUGUAGAUAGAUAAAACUGACACCUUCAGGUUAUAUUUCACCCAUGCUUGGCCCGCGAUAAAAGGGGCUUUGGAAAUUCAAACGUUUGCACCCUAUUUCAAUGCUGACGUGGUUUCAGCAAUGUUUCUCAACCGCCACACUAUAUCAAAGUUAGUUUGUUGUUUGUUGUCUGUUUGUUAAUGUGUUACAACUUUUCGUAAAUCAUACCACAUAAUAAUUGCAAAAGUUAUCCUCUUCUUUUUUAUCAGUUUGGAUACCGCCAGUAGCUUCAGUGGGCUGUAUCUGGACCUGAGAAGCUGAUCCUGACAUAUCAUUACCUCCUGUUUGACCCUCACUGCUUGGCAGAUUGUCAGCUGGU